rnacentral:sRNA from 1 species
AGAGCAGCGGCGGGAGGAGGCGGACACGUGGCAACAGCGGUAGCAGCCCGGGCGGCGGCAGCAACAGCGGCGGCGGCAUCGGCCCGAGCCGCCGGCCGCCCUCCCUCCCUCCCGCCCCGCGGCAGCCCUAGCUCCCUCCACUUGGCUCCCCCGGUCCCGCUCGCUCGGCCGGGAGCUGCUCUGUGCUUUUCUCUCUGAUUCUCCAGCGACAGGACCCGGCGCCGGGCACUGAGCACCGCCACCAUGGGGAAGGGGGUUGGACGUGAUAAGUAUGAGCCUGCAGCUGUUUCAGAACAAGGUGAUAAAAAGGGCAAAAAGGGCAAAAAAGACAGGGACAUGGAUGAACUGAAGAAAGAAGUUUCUAUGGAUGAUCAUAAACUUAGCCUUGAUGAACUUCAUCGUAAAUAUGGAACAGACUUGAGCCGGGUAUGUUCUAGUUUGAAAGCUGUUGUACAAAAUCCUAGUUUUCCGUAUUAUAUUUUCCCCUGUAUUACAUACAGGUCUAACCUCAGGGGCUCUAGUAAGAAAAUGACAGACACCAUCUGCAUAUCUACCAUGUGACAUGCACAGAAUUUGGGCAUUUAUAUGCUACGUUUCUUUUCCCUGAAACUUUUUGAAAGUAGAUGUUAUUUUCUUUUCCCUAUUUUAUAGUAGUUGAGAGCCAGUAAGUGGGAACACCAGGACUUGCAGUUGGCUUCAAAGCCAUGCUUAUGCCUUGACCUUUUGAUGAUAAAUUUUCCCUUUAUUUUUCUACAUUUGUUAAAUAGAGUUGAAUCUUUCACCUAGUUGAAUCUUCAACAAUUCCCAUUUUUGCGCUUUUCCCAGCUAGCCCAUUGCAGUGUGUUAUGGUUAUACUGUCAUUUGUUUAGUUAUUCUAUCAUUUAGUUGGAAAUUGUUUUGUACAAAAAUUAAAGAAACCUUUUCAUAAAAUAGGCGUUAUGUAUCCUUGUUAUGUAGAGGAUUUUGAUAUUAAAUGUGUAACAAAUGUUAUAAAAGUAAAUAGUCUAGGGAUGUCUUAUUUCCAGAUAAUCACUGAAAUGUCUGGGAAUAACUUGAAUAGCAAGCCAAUAUGUAGCAUUUUUUCAGUAAGGCAUCAAGAGACAUGGGUACUGUGGUAUUCUGAUAUAUAUUGGUUUUUGUCCACAGUUCCUGGUUCAUAACUCCCAUAGCCCUUAUUACAGUGGUUUGUUAUAAUGUUGGGUGUGUUCGACCUCAGUGGCAGGCUUCAAGAAACAGGAUCUCUCUCCUGCCCUCCUUUUCACCUGUCGCAAGGCAGGACUCUAAUCUUGUUCCACUUUUCUGAUUUUCCAGGUAGAUAGUGUUGGAAUUGAAUUGGAGGAAACCUUGGUGGUGGGGAGAAACCGCCACACCUUUGCUCACAGAAGUCAUCUUCUGUGUUGAUUGUUGUGGUGUAAGAGUAGAGAAGAGGCCGGGUGCGGUGGCUCAUGCCUGUAAUCUCAGCACUUUGGGAGGCCGAGACUGGUGGAACACCUGAGGUCAGGAGUUCGACACCAGCCUGACCAACAUGGAGAAACCCCGUCUCUACUAAAAAUACAAAAUUAGCCUGGCAUGGUGGUGCAUGCCUGUAAUCCCAGCUACUCGGGAGGCUGAGGCAGGAGAACUGCUUAAACCUGGGAGGUGGAGGUUGCAGUGAGCCAAGGUUGUGCCAUUGCACUCCAGCCUGGACAACAAGAGUGAAACUCCGUCUCAAAAAAAAAAA